rfam:Candidatus Nanosalina sp. J07AB43 genomic scaffold scf_7180000030744, whole genome shotgun sequence.
GGGUUCGUGGUCUAGUUGGUUAUGACGUCGCCCUUACAAGGCGAAGAUCCCCAGUUCGAAUCUGGGCGAACCCA